rnacentral:rRNA from 1 species
UACAGAGGUCCCAAGCGUUGUUCGGAUUCACUGGGCGUAAAGGGUGCGUAGGUGGCGAGGUAAGUCGGAUGUGAAAGCUCGGAGCUCAACUCCGAAAUGGCAUUGGAAACUACCUUGCUCGAGGGUUGGAAGGGGACUGGAAUGCUUGGUGUAGCAGUGAAAUGCGUAGAUAUCAAGCGGAACACCAGUGGCGAAGGCGAGUCCCUGGACAACUCCUGACACUGAGGCACGAAAGCUAGGGGAGCAAACAGG